AGUGAACGCUGGCGGUAGGCCUAACACAUGCAAGUCGAACGGAGUGGCGGACGGGUGAGUAACCCGUGGGAACCUACCCAUCAGAGGGGGAUAACACUUGGAAACAGGUGCUAAUACCGCAUACUGAUGGAUGGCCCCGCGGUGCAUUAGCUGGUUGGUGCGGUAACGGCUCACCAAGGCCACGAUGCAUAGCCGACCUGGGAGGGGGAUCGGCCACACUGGGACUGAGACACGGCCCAGACGCCUACGGGAGGCAGCAGUGGGGAAUAUUGGACAAUGGGCGAAAGCCUGAUCCAGCCAUGCCGCGUGUGUGAAGAAGGUCUUCGGAUUGUAAAGCACUUUAAGUUGGGAGGCGUUACCAACAGAAUAAGCACCGGCUAACUUCGUGCCAGCAGCCGCGGUAAUAC
rnacentral:rRNA from 1 species